AUUGAACGCUGGCGGCAGGCUUAACACAUGCAAGUCGAACGGUAACAGGAGAAAGCUUGCUUUCUUGCUGGCGAGUGGCGGACGGGUGAGUAAUGCUUGGGAAUCUGGCUUAUGGAGGGGGAUAACGACGGGAAACUGUCGCUAAUACCGCGUAGAGUCGAGAGACGAAAGUGCGGGACCGCAAGGCCGCAUGCCAUAGGAUGAGCCCAAGUGGGAUUAGGUAGUUGGUGGGGUAAUAGCCUACCAAGCCGACGAUCUCUAGCUGGUCUGAGAGGAUGACCAGCCACACCGGGACUGAGACACGGCCCGGACUCCUACGGGAGGCAGCAGUGGGGAAUAUUGCGCAAUGGGGGCAACCCUGACGCAGCCAUGCCGCGUGAAUGAAGAAGGCCUUCGGGUUGUAAAGUUCUUUCGGUAUUGAGGAAGGUUGUUGUGUUAAUAGCACGACAAAUUGACGUUAAAUACAGAAGAAGCACCGGCUAACUCCGUGCCAGCAGCCGCGGUAAUACGGAGGGUGCGAGCGUUAAUCGGAAUAACUGGGCGUAAAGGGCACGCAGGCGGACUUUUAAGUGAGGUGUGAAAUCCCCGGGCUUAACCUGGGAAUUGCAUUUCAGACUGGGAGUCUAGAGUACUUUAGGGAGGGGUAGAAUUCCACGUGUAGCGGUGAAAUGCGUAGAGAUGUGGAGGAAUACCGAAGGCGAAGGCAGCCCCUUGGGAAUGUACUGACGCUCAUGUGCGAAAGCGUGGGGAGCAAACAAG
rnacentral:rRNA from 1 species